rnacentral:rRNA from 1 species
UAGGGAAUCUUCGGCAAUGGGGGGAACCCUGACCGAGCAACGCCGCGUGAGUGAAGAAGGUUUUCGGAUCGUAAAGCUCUGUUGUUAAGGAAGAACGAGUGUGAGAAUGGAAAGUUCAUACUGUGACGGUACUUAACCAGAAAGGGACGGCUAACUACGUGCCAGCAGCCGCGGUAAUACGUAGGUCCCGAGCGUUGUCCGGAUUUAUUGGGCGUAAAGCGAGCGCAGGCGGUUAGAUAAGUCUGAAGUUAAAGGCAGUGGCUCAACCAUUGUAGGCUUUGGAAACUGUUUAACUUGAGUGCAGAAGGGGAGAGUGGGAUUCCAUGUGUAGCGGUGAAAUGCGUAGAUAUAUGGAGGAACACCGGUGGCGAAAGCGGCUCUCUGGUCUGUAACUGACGCUGAGGCUCGAAAGCGUGGGGAGCGAACAGG